rnacentral:lncRNA from 1 species
GUAGCUCCUGAAGUUCUGCCAUUCCCCGUGGUCUGCAGUUCAGGAAGCUUCUGGAACAUGCGGCGCCUCUGCCAUGGAAACACGAUCCGCGUCGUCAGCUUCAGAUGUGAUCUUGGAACGCUGGUAAGAGCAGGACCCACAGGAGUCUGUGCCCGCUUUGCCCUAGGCUGAAAGUCAGUUGGACCCUCCACCCACUUCAAACUCUGAGUCUGUAUGGAGCCUGCUGUGGUCCUCACAAAAGGUCCUGAGGAGAUCACCGGAGUAUGGAGGCUCUCCUGUCUGUUAGCUUUAUGUGGCUGUGUCCUCUGUAGCCCCUGAAGAGUUGCUUUAAGACCUCUAUUACACUCUUCUUGGUUAUCAUCCAAUGGCUUCCUAGCCAACCCACGUUGUGGCUCAGGAGCAGGUUUGUGGACAACGGUAUCUCUCCUUUGCUUCACAGUGCCUGGACUCAGUGUCCAGUGACUUUCCUGUGUGCUAGCCAGCUCCUUUCUAAAGAAUACACAGGAGAGCCUUUCCCAGGGAGAGAGAGGGGUUGGGGCUUGGACACAGCAGACUCGAGCUGGGGUUUCACAGCUGUGACCCAGCACUUUGGGAGUCAGGUGUAAGGGCACUGACGGGAAUCUGAGGUCAGUUUGACCUAUAUAGUGAAACUCUGUCAGAGACAAAGCUAGAUGAGAGCCACCAGAGCCGAACCCUCUCGGGACCAGCCUGUGGUUCAGCACAUAACGCAGCCAGGACUCUUGUUCAGUGCUGAGCAGCACGUGUACUCGUCACUGGGUGUGAGAAAUCUCCAGCUUCUCAAUGACUUUAGUGUCAUUGACCAGAACCACUGUCUACCUGCCCAGCCCAGUGAUGCACAGUCAAGUUCGCCUUGGCAGCUGUCUGAAAGUUAAUCCUGUGAAGGGACCUGAAGCAGCCCUCUGAGGAAGCCUCGCGCACCCCUGCCGAAGAACAUCGCAGUGUGUUCAUUCCCCUUCCGUUGGCCUCAGGAUCCAAGCAGGAAAGAAGAGGGAAGAACUCUGAAGGACAUGAGAGGGACCCAGCUUACAGUCCAGGUGAGUUCCUUGUUCCAGUACAAUAUUUGAAAGUGUCUUUUGCAUUCUCCACGGAGUCUUCAAGUGCUGCAACACUGAGGGAAGGGCCGUGCCUAGUAGCUGUGUGUCACUAUGGACUCUGUGGUAUAGGAGAUGGGCUCUGGCCAGUUGCCUUUGAAGAUGAACUUCGUUUCCAGAUAGUUUUCACACAGGGCGGUAGGAGAUUUCUUACUGCUACACCUUCCACCCUAGCCCUGACCCUCGCCACCAGGCCGCCCAGCCAUAUUAGCUCAGAAGAUCCAUAAAGGGGCUGGAGCCCCAGUCCCCUCCCCUCUGCUUGAAGAUGUUAUUAAUUAGAGUUGUGCUAGGAUGCAGGAAUGACCUUGGGAAGGGGCACUUGGUGACUAAGCAAGAAUGGGCACGGGUGUGCUGACUCACCACACCCAGCUUGCAGGGGAGGCUGACUGAGGACCACCCUCAGGGUGACCUUGGAGGUCUGCAGGCUCAGCUCCCGCAUUGCCUAGUCCUAUACCUGUCGGGGAAAUGGUAACUUCGGAACUUAGUAGGCAGACAGUUUCUGGAGGUAACAUAGAGACAUGAAGGGGUACACUGAGCUGGUCCCCAAGGGGGCCCCAGGUGAAGGUCACAGCCCUUCCUUUUCGCCUACGGCUGAGUUCUGGGUCCCACCAAGAAUAGAACUCCCCUUCCUCGUUGGCUAUGAAAAUGUCUUAAUGUCUCUAAAUCCCAAGUUGCCUUAUGGCCACAGCCCUGCUUCCAACCUUCUUCUAAAGCAAGUACGUUAAGAGAUGGAGAUGUCGCUCAAUUGGUAAGGUGCUUGCCUAGCGUGCACAGAGAAGCCCUGGCUCCCUUUUGCAAUUCUUCAGAAACCAGGUGUGGUGGUGCAUUCUUGUAAUCCCAGUACUUGGGAACAUGUGGGCAGGCCGCAUCGGGAUCUGUUGUCUC